AUCGCUUCUCGGCCUUUUGGCUAAGAUCAAGUGCAGAAUAGAAACUGUUUUCUAGAACCUGAAAACUAUUGCAGAAUCAGUAUUGUUAAAUGACUGCCCAGUUUUGAUAAGGGCUGGUGUGUAUUAACUGAUGGCUGAAUUAUCAGUAAAGUUGCUGUCAGAUCUGCAAUAAAUUAGCCAUGUAUGAAAAGAUU
rfam:Fukomys damarensis contig139633, whole genome shotgun sequence.